GAUCAUGAUAACUAGUCGAAUCGACAGGCCUUGUGCCGGCGAUGGCUCAUUCAAAUUUCUUCCCUAUCAACUUUCGAUGUUUGGGUAUUGGCCAAACAUGGUGGCAACGGGUAACGGAGGGUUAGGGCUCGACCCCGGAGAAGGAGCCUGAGAAACGGCUACUACAUCCAAGGAAGGCAGCAGGCGCGCAAAUUACCCAAUCCCGACACGGGGAGGUAGUGACAAUAAAUACUGAUACAGGGCUCUUUUGGGUCUUGUAAUCGGAAUGAGUACAAUUUAAAUCCCUUAACGAGGAACAAUUGGAGGGCAAGUCUGGCGCCAGCAGCCGCGGUAAUUCCAGCUCCAAUAGCGUAUAUUAAAGUUGUUGUGGUUAAAAAGCUCGUAGUUGAACCUUGGGCCUGGCUGGCCGGUCCGCCUCACCGCGUGCACUGGUCCGGCCGGGCCUUUCCCUCUGCGGAACCCCAUGCCCUUCACUGGGUGUGGCGGGGAACCAGGACUUUUAC
rnacentral:rRNA from 1 species